ACGCGGUUCUCCUUCCGGGUCCGGGCUGCAGGGGGAGGGCGCUCGGUGCCGCCGCUUCGGAGCCCUGCAGUCAGCGCUAGACGCCGAGCAGCGCGGAGCUGCAGUUCGCUCCAUCGGACGGGUAGCGUAGCACAGACAGCCGGAGCCCCGAGUCGCGGACUGUCCGCCCUUCAUUCGCCGCGUAGAGGACGCCGUUCGGCGGCAUGACAUAAUCUCCGUUUUCGCCCGUUCCGUGUGGCCGAGCUCCCUUGGCUUGGAUCCCGGAGAUCGUACUGCAGCGAGCGAGGGGCCAGCCACCCCCAUCCCCGUCAGCGCUUCGCUUCCCCGGCCCGCUACUCCGCAUGCCUAUGGGCGCCUUCGGGCUCAUCUGACGGGACUGACAAAGAAUUGAAGCGGGUCUCUUUUCGGGGAGGAGGGACCCCCGGGGAUCUGUGUGAAAUUACCGGUGUGGGGGACAUUUAGGAGCGCCGCCUCCCCCCAGUGAGGAUGCAUUUGUGAGUGGUGGAUACGGUCACCCCCGCGGAGCCCCUGCAGACGCGGAUUGGAGACCCUGUUCUUCAGCCCCUGUGCUUCUCUAUAGCCCACAGAGUGCCCCCCUCUCAUCAGACCCCGUGAGCUGGCGCUGGCAUAGAUGAGCCCUCGUGCUGCGUGAGGCCGCCGUUGGGAGGAACACGCGCCCGGAGCUCUCCGGCAGCCGUGGAGCCUGCAGAGCAGCGUGUUUCCGUGGAGGACAGCUCGCCGGCCCGGGUGAGAUGAGGAAGUUUGCCUACUGCAAGGUGGUGCUGGCCACUUCACUGGUAUGGGUCAUGCUGGACAUGUUCAUCCUGCUCUACUUCAGCGAGUGUAACAAGUGUGACGACAAGAAGGAGAGGGGUCUGCCUGGGAGAGAUGGUGAGUCACACACACAUGCGUACACACACACAUACACACUCUCACGGAGAAAAUAGCCAAUUAAACUUGGCCUGAAAUGAGGUUGAUGGAUUGGGGAAAUAGCCAAUUAAAUAUGGCCUGAAACAAGACAGGCAGCAAAUGGGCUAGAGAUGGGGCAGCGUGAUUGAGGGGAGCAGUCAGGCCUCUGGAAGCCCAGGGGCCAGAUUGGCCUGAUUAAAAUGUGGCAGGAGUUUGGAGUGUCCACAGCGCCGGAACGAGGUCUCGCGGCUACCUUCCUGAGUGCGUCUUGGUCAUUGUCCAUCCAUGGGAGGUGGGUCGCGAUGAGAUUCAGCUGCAAGUGUCAGACCUACUGCCCAUCAAUGCUGUGCCGAUCUUCAGAGGGGAAGCUGGUGAUGUUCUUGGAGACUCUGGUGGUAGUAUGACUGACCAGGGCUCUGAAAUCGCUGCGACUGAUGGCGGGGAUCCCCACGGCUCUGUCCUGGGACCCUUUCAGCCUUUCCUGCAUUUCUAGGUGUUCUCUAAUGGCCUCUUCCUCUGUCCUUUUGCUUCUGGCUGGUCCCACAUCAGUGUCGAGGCUCACUUUAUGUUCUGUUGCUGAAGGGUCUUCUCUGCGUAAGAAAUGGGGGUUGGAAACCUCGACUCCUAUAUUUUUGGCAAGCUGCCUGUGACGGACGUUCUCUUCCAUUUAAAGUUCUAGCACAGUGCCCCCACCUUGUCGGAGGCCAGCAGACCUGCACUGCCAGUGACUCCCCUCCCCAUCCCUCCCCUCCCCACCCCCAUGUGCUCUGUUCUUCCUAUCGACCUUCUAAACAUCCUUAAACUAAGAGUUACCUGCUUCCUGCUCCCAGCCGUCGGCUUGGAGGGGGUUGCAAGUCUUUUUAUAUCUGCCGUUGCUGACGUCAAGGCGUGAGCUUUAACCGAAUCGCCGUACCUGGGAUCACAGCCACUGACCCCUGAAAAGUGAGAUUACGCUUCCCAUUUACAUUUUAAUUCCUAUCCUGUUCCCCCAAGGCUCGGCUCGGAGCAGCUUCCUGACUGCUUAUGGGAUGUCAUGUGGGUGUCGGGCUCUUUGUAAACAACCCCGUUUCCCAGAAAAGCACGCCGUUCCCCCGGGGCUGCCACACACGGACUCGUUUGUAAGACGCAUCUGAUCUUCUUUAUGGGCACGAAGCCGGGAUUAAUCUCUCCCGCCGAUAAACCUUCAUCUUAUUUGGAAACAAAAUUCUGCUAUGAAAAGGCAGCUCGUUUCCCCUCUGGUGCAGACAGUGCCUAGAGUUUCCAGCAGAGGCCCCAUGAUCUCUGAA